rnacentral:rRNA from 1 species
UACGAAGGGGGCUAGCGUUGUUCGGAAUUACUGGGCGUAAAGCGCACGUAGGCGGAUAUUAAGUCGGGGGUGAAAUCCCGGGGCUCAACCCCGGAACUGCCUUCGAUACUGGGUAUCUUGAGUUCGGAAGAGGUGAGUGGAAUUGCGAGUGUAGAGGUGAAAUGCGUAGAUAUUGGGAGGAACACCAGUGGCGAAGGCGGCUCACUGGACUGGUACUGACGCUGAUGCGCGAAAGCGUGGGAG